rnacentral:rRNA from 1 species
UACGAAGGGUGCAAGCGUUACUCGGAAUUACUGGGCGUAAAGCGUGCGUAGGUGGUUUGUUAAGUCUGAUGUGAAAGCCCCGGGCUCAACCUGGGAAUGGCAUUGGAAACUGGCGGACUCGAGUGUGGCAGAGGGGGGUGGAAUUCCGCGUGUAGCAGUGAAAUGCGUAGAGAUGCGGAGGAACACCGAUGGCGAAGGCAGCCCCCUGGGCUAACACUGACGCUCAGGCACGAAAGCGUGGGGAGCAAACAGG